AUUGAACGCUGGCGGCAUGCUUUACACAUGCAAGUCGAACGGCAGCGCGGGGCAACCUGGCGGCGAGUGGCGAACGGGUGAGUAAUAUAUCGGAACGUACCCAGAAGUGGGGGAUAACGUAGCGAAAGUUACGCUAAUACCGCAUACGAUCUACGGAUGAAAGUGGGGGACCUUCGGGCCUCAUGCUUGUGGAGCGGCCGAUAUCUGAUUAGCUAGUUGGUAGGGUAAAGGCCUACCAAGGCGACGAUCAGUAGCUGGUCUGAGAGGACGACCAGCCACACUGGGACUGAGAAACGGCCCAGACUCCUACGGGAGGCAGCAGUGGGGAAUUUUGGACAAUGGGCGCAAGCCUGAUCCAGCAAUGCCGCGUGAGUGAAGAAGGCCUUCGGGUUGUAAAGCUCUUUUGUCAGGGAAGAAACGGGACUGGAUAAUACCUGGUCCUAAUGACGGUACCUGAAGAAUAAGCACCGGCUAACUACGUGCCAGCAGCCGCAGUAA
rnacentral:rRNA from 1 species